UUAGGAAGAAGGAUGAUUAGUAUGUUCAAUUAAAUGAAUGUACAGGAAAGUCCAGACAGCAUAGAGUGGGGUGGGGUUGAGUGAUCAACCCAGUCGUAAGACCUAGUUAGAGCAACAGUGACGAACCGAGAUAAUGCUCGGGUGAAACGGGCAAUCCUCCCCGCUGCAAUCCUAGAACCGACAGAGUUACUCGCUCAUUUGUCGAAAUAAGGAGCGUUAGAUAAAUUAUCAUCGAGAAACAGAAUCUGGCUUACUAUCUUCCUAAGCGC
rnacentral:RNase_P_RNA from 3 species